AAAUGAAGCUCCCUGUUUGCCUUGAUGUCAUCAAAACCCUUGUUGCUAAAGAAAUUCAAUUAAACUCAGACCAACUCCCACUGAAAUUCAAAUUUGGUGAUUUGUGACUAAUUAGAAGAGAAUAUUUUCAGUUGGAAGGGACCUACAGUGAUCGAAUUAGAUGUUUUAAGCUCCCUGAAAAUGUCUCCUGUCUACAAACUUUUCUUCAAUUGGACAUGGUUUUGCAAUUAUACAUAAUUUUAUUCACUAAUAUAUAGAGAAUCAUUAUUAUGUGUAAGUUUUAUUGCAUAGAAUAAUGGGACAUAGCACAUAUUUUUUAAUAGGAAAUAGAAAAUGUGGACCUUGGUAAAAAUAUUGAUGAUUGUGCACAGUGAUGGCAGGGUAAGACUUGUUCUCUAAACGGCAUCAGAUUUUAUUCAGGAGACAUUUUCUCUUUAAAACAAUAAAAAAAAAUCAUUUAAAAUUAAAAAAAGGCCCUCUGGAGAACAGCAACACUUUCUCAUGGAGAAACAGGCUCAUCACUUCUGAUUUUCUUCUGCACAGUGGGUGGAAGAGGGAUCCCAAAUGCUUUCCUGCUUCACAGGACAUGGGAGCAGCUCUGGGAUGUCGCUGGUGUCUGUGGGACUUCUUCUGACCAAUGCUAUUUGUCUGAAUUCCCAGGAAUGUUGCUUGUUAUUCGGAGCGGAAAAAUGUUCUAUUUUUGGCUGUGACAACUUCUUUUUUUUUUCUGGGGGAAAAAAAUGUUUUACACAAAGCAUAGCAAGGGUUGGGGGUGUGUGUGUAGGUCUGGGUGGUAUGGGAUGGGGAUGGAGCGAGGCAGAGCUUCAGGCAAAGACACCAGGGAGUGAUUAAUGCUCUACUUGCAAUUUAAGGUGUCCUUGUUAAGUGGAUAAUGAUGGUGGAGAUCCUGGUAGAUUGGAUAUGUGGGAGGGUGUCUCUCUGACCAUAAAAAAGAUCAGAAUCAAUGGGAAUCUUCGCUGGUUUGUCCUGCCAUGGGAAACUAAGGGUGGUUACAGCUCGUGAAACAUGUACUUGUCUUUCUGGAAAGAAAGGGAAGUUGUUAAAGUGUAACUGUGGCUGGUUUUUUUUACAUAAACAAUCUCUUGCACAUUUAAAAAUGGGUUUUUUUCACCCAGUGUCCCAGAUCUGUGACCCUUUAAGUCUCUAGAAAACCGGUUGUGUUCAACUGGUUUUUCAAUUAGCAAGGAGCCUUGGCACACCCCCCGUGAGGGCUGGUGGGAAGACGGAGCCCAAGGAAGAAGGGAGCUGCUCCUGGGGGAAGUGAUGUACCUGGAGAGCCCGGGUCUGUGGGAUGUCAGCUGUUCUCCUUUUGGACAGACGUGUUUGCUGGGUUUAAAGCAGGAUGUGGCUGCGGGAGACUGUCUCCAAAAGAGGAUUCCAAGAGGAAGCCUCCAUGGAGCAGAGCAUCAUGAUGUGGAGCCAACAGAAACACCAAAGAACAAGAAAGAAUAAUCUGGUGUCUGGUGGAGGAGAGGGGAUGGGGCUUGGGAUAAGAGGAUGAUUUAGGUCAGAAGAGCCUUCUUGGGGUCUCUAGUCCAACCUUUACCCCAUACCACACCAGCUGUAAGAUACUUUGUGCCAAUGCUGCAAUCUUCUGGUUUCCAGUGGCAUUGCUGGAAUCAGGUGGGAUGGCUUUCCUGGGAUGUCAGACUGCCUAGAAAGGCACUUGGCCUCCAGGAUCCUGCCUCUUGCAAACAGAGUGCCUGUCACCAAACCUCUGAAAAUCUGGAGAGGGAGGGGGAAAAUCCUCUUGAGUGCCUGCAGGUCAAUGUCCUUCCAG